rnacentral:rRNA from 1 species
UCCUACGGGAGGCAGCAGUGGGGAAUAUUGGACAAUGGGGGCAACCCUGAUCCAGCAAUGCCGCGUGUGUGAAGAAGGUCUUCGGAUUGUAAAGCACUUUCGACGGGGACGAUGAUGACGGUACCCGUAGAAGAAGCCCCGGCUAACUUCGUGCCAGCAGCCGCGGUAAU